UACGGGUAGCGCUAGUGUUAUUCCUCUUGAUUGGGCGUAAAGGGUGUGUAGGUGGUAUAAUAAGUUGGAAAUGAAAAACUAUGCUGAUCAAUUGUAUAUUUCUAAAACUAUUAAUACUUGAGUAAUAAGAAAAGAUGAAUGGAACUUCUCGCAUCAGAGUUAAAAUGUGUUUACACGAAGAGGGAACCCCAAAGGCGAAGGCAAUCAUCUAAUUAUUUCUGACACUGAGAACACGUAAGGCAUGGGUAUCAAAUAGG
rnacentral:rRNA from 1 species